CAGGGUCUCGCUCUGUCGCCCAAGCUGGAGUGCACUGGCAUGAUCUCGGCUCACUGCUGCGUCUACCUUGCUGGCUCAAGCGAUCCUCUGGCCUCAGCCACCACAAGUAGCUGGGACUACAGGACCUGGCCCGGCUGACCGUCAAGACCCUUCCAGCUCUGCCGACCCAGGCCCUGAGGCCCUUCCCGGAGGGCCGGACCCUGAGGGAAAAAAACGAAGGAGCCCGUGGGGACCCUCGAGUUACCGUCCUGCAGCAGCGCAGUCUUCUGGGCUGUCCGCAGACUCUCCAUCCAGCCCGUCACCGCCAU